GCCACAUCCGUCUGCCUCAGACUCAAAAACGCUCUGAGACUGAUCUGACGCCCCAGACCAAGGACAGACAUACUUCAAUAAAGGAGCUCUUUCCCUUUAAGAUGACAGAGGAAGAAUACUCCAGUGAAACUCAACGUGUAACGUCACCCAGCUCCCACGGCUGCAAACUGAUGGCCAGCUGUCUGAUGCUGCUCUUCACAAGCUCCGGCUCUACUGGACAGUCCGUUCCCCGUUUCUGCUAACUUCCGGAGGCUGCCACGUUCUCUGGUUGUGAGCUUUUCCUCGUCACCCUCACCUCUUCCUGCGAUUGCUCCUUGCCCUGAUACCCACUCUAGUCUCCUGCCUCCCAGUUAUAAGGGCCCUUGUGAUCACAUGGUGCCUGCCCAGGUGCUUGGGAUAAGCUCCCUAUUCAACAUCCUUAACUGAAACACAUCUUUAAAGCUGAUUUGACUCUAUAGAGCUACACUCAUGGGGUUAGGAGGCAGGCAUCUUUGUGGCCACUUUGAGCAUAGCCCAGGGGAGGGAAGAUAUCAGACAUCCAUGUAGGGGUGGUUGUCUGCAUGUUACCCCUGAAGCACCGCCCCUAGUAGGCAGCAGGUAACUGCUAGGUACCUGCCCAUCUCCAGUGCGUGGCCAAGGGGGGACCCCUUAAGAUCUGGAAUGCGGUAUGUGCUCGCCCUCUUGGCUACCUUGUGGUCUUGGAUACUGGAUGCUGGUACUGCUGACCAAGGCAGAGCUCUCUAGAGAACCGAGUUAGAUCACACCUCACCUUCCCUGGACCCGGCGACCAACUGCCUUUUGCUUGUCCUGCUGGGUGAACAGCUGAUAACAGGCGCUGUGCUCCAGGAAAUCUAUCGCUGACCAUUAAUUUCAGGAGAGACCCGGGGUUACUGAGAAAAGGGCCAAGUCAAGCGUAGAGUGCACCAACAACCUUCUGUUGUUGGGAUAAAACUCCACCACCAAAAGCAACUCACGCUCAAGUUUAUGUGGCUCACAGUCCCAGAGGAGGGAGGCCAUUGUAAGGAUUCGGUCCUUAAUUAUGUCAUCAGCCUUCCACGGCGUCCCAGCCUAAAAAGCUGGUGGGCCCUCUGUGCACGCUCUGUCUCUCUCCUUUCCCAUCCUUCCUCCCGUUGCCCUCCCCCUCUCUCUCCCCCCCUCUCUCCCUCCCUCUCUCCCCCCUCCCAAUAAAGCUCUCAAC